GGCUCCAUAGCUCAGUGGUAAGUGUGCUGGUCUAAUAAACCAGAGGUUAUGAGUUCAAUCCUCAUUGGGGCCU